UCAUCUGGAUCUGGUGGGGCCUGCCCCUAAUGUAGAAACGCCACUGCCUAACUGACCUUCACAGUUGGUCGAAGUGAAAUGUGACGAACUCUUCUUAAUAGAGGAACAGACUAAAGUCUUCGUUACAACACUUGUUACAUCAACCGAUGGAAUUUAGCUUGCAAUAAUUUUCAUCGCAGAAGGCUGACCUGAAGCUUCGUUUAACCGUAAGCGCACCCGGGAAUUGUUGGCUGGAAUGGAGGAACGUAAAAAAAAAAGCGAUGGUGCCCCUCUCAGGACUGGUGCGAGACCCUUGAGGUGAAGUGAGUUUAUACCCGGGGGUGGUAGCCAGAUUUGUAGAGGUGUACGUUGCGUCCUGCACCCGGACACUUCUCACCUCGAGGACACUUCAUGGAGUACCUCCACACCCCAAGAGGGCGCCACACAAAGGCACGACUCAGAAAAAAGAGCUGUGCUGUUGGCAGAGCACCACUCACGUAGCCAGGAGAUUCUGGGGGAUAAAACCACAUACGGUCUGAUUUCAUCACCCGUCUUCUCUUGAGCUGCCCAGUGAUGUCCUUGUAGGGGAAUCAGUCUGAGGUGACUCCAUGGGAUGGUCAUGACCCCGGGAUGUGGACGGGGACUCAGGCUGCGUGUGACAGACAGCAGUGACCUCAGGCUGCCUGGGCUGCACAGCGGUGGCCUCUGACUGCAUGUGCUGGACAGCAGUGGCCUCGGGCCGCUUGU